AAAAUGUACUACAUUAGAAUAAUAUUAUUUAAUAAAACAUAGAGCAUUAAAAUUAGAAUACCAAUUCCUUUUAUCCCCUCUCUCAGCCAAAACCUAGCAGUCCCGAAACCUGGAGGUAAAGCAGCGGGUAAGAAAGUAGGGAAACUGGGAGGAUUCGAUUGCUGGAAGGAAAAAUCAGCAAAGUUGCUGGAAGGAGAAAUCAACAAAGCUGUUGGAAGGAAAAAAAAUAAGUGUUGAAUCAACUGUUGGUGUCGAAGCUGCAGUUUGGGUAUUUCUUUCUCAGGAAUGCAUAAAUUGUGGAUUUCUGUAAAUCAUUUUGAAUGCUGAAUGUGGAAAUCAGUAGAAAAAAAAGGGGUAAGACUAUUGUUAAGUUAGCUGAUGGAACAAAAAAGAAUUUCGAAAAUUAAUGUUGCUGAAAUCAGUUAGUUAUGACUGAGUUUGUGAUGGUAAAUUUCUGGAAAUACGAAAGAAACAUAGGAAGGAAAGAAAAGAAUCAGAUUACUAUUUAAUGAGGAAGAAUUUAGUUGAGGUAGUGUACAAAAGAAGAAGAAAAUAGGAAGAACGAAUCCCUAGUGAGGUAAGGGAAAGGAGCCCGUAGGGCACUAGGCGAGAAAGAGGUGAUCGUUCGUUUUUUGUGUAUAUAUGUUUUGCUGUACAAAGAGAUCUUAGAGGAGAUCUUAAGGAUAGCUGUAUAAACCUUUUGGUAUGUAAGUAAAUUUUGAAAGUUUUAGUAGAGCUCUAUAUUUACAUUGUUUAUAUUUGAUGUUA